UUCACCUACAAGCCACAGCACCCACAAGCCACAGCAGAAAUGUGGACUAAAGGAAAGAAGGAUAUAAGUAUGGGAUCAACUGAAGGAUAUAAAUUCCGGCAACACAAUCAAGCAGCCAAAGCAUUUGCAGAAGAUAUGAAGGGCGCCUAUUGUUUCAUUUGUAGUGGGGCCAAGAGCUGGACUAUGGCAAUUUGUAUAAAUACGCACACAGAAAGAACAUUCUGAAUAACUUCAACAUUUUUAGCCAAGAACUUUAGAUGUGUGAUGAAUUUCUCCUACCCAAACCAUUCUCAAGUUACUUUCAAGCAAAUGCGAGGAUUUUAAAAAGAUGCAGAGAUGAAUAUGGCACUUAACUGAUUGGAUUAAAAACAGAAUUUUUAAAAGCC